rnacentral:rRNA from 1 species
ACGGUAAGGCCCCUUCGGGGGUACACGAGUGGCGAACGGGUGAGUAACACGUGGGUAAUCUGCCCUGCACUUCGGGAUAAGCCUGGGAAACUGGGUCUAAUACCGGAUAUGAACUCCUGCCGCAUGGUGGGGGUUGGAAAGUUUUUCGGUGCAGGAUGAGCCCGCGGCCUAUCAGCUUGUUGGUGGGGUAAUGGCCUACCAAGGCGACGACGGGUAGCCGGCCUGAGAGGGUGAUCGGCCACACUGGGACUGAGACACGGCCCAGACUCCUACGGGAGGCAGCAGUGGGGAAUAUUGCACAAUGGGCGAAAGCCUGAUGCAGCGACGCCGCGUGGGGGAUGACGGUCUUCGGAUUGUAAACCCCUUUCAGUAGGGACGAAGCGCAAGUGACGGUACCUGCAGAAGAAGCACCGGCUAACUACGUGCCAGCAGCCGCGGUAAUACGUAGGGUGCGAGCGUUGUCCGGAAUUACUGGGCGUAAAGAGCUCGUAGGCGGUUUGUCACGUCGUCUGUGAAAUCCCUCGGCUUAACCGGGGGCGUGCAGGCGAUACGGGCAGACUUGAGUACUACAGGGGAGACUGGAAUUCCUGGUGUAGCGGUGAAAUGCGCAGAUAUCAGGAGGAACACCGGUGGCGAAGGCGGGUCUCUGGGUAGUAACUUACGCUGAG